GACACGUAACGAUACAUAAAUCACACUAAAUAGGUUUUAUUACAGGACAAAAGUCGGUGUUCCUCUACAGCUUUACUCAUAUUAAAGUGGGGUCAAUCUUCGUAUUUAAUAAUUUAUAUGAGUUGGCCCCCGCUGUACUUACUUUUAGAAAAACAACCAAAGUGCUUUCGACACGUAAUCUGUUACAGAUCUAUCUGACUGUGACGGUCACCUGAUUUUGUGCUCUAUUUCAAGCUUACACGUAGUACUGACCAGUCUCCACAUGGAUGUGGGCCAGCUUCUCGAAAGUUCCACUUCUGGUACAGCAACCCAGUCAGUCAUACGAAUUUUUCGAUACAUCAGUCAUACGUACGUGGUGAGACGUGUGGGUCCAACUUCUCACCCUUGUAGCAUAUUUCUAAAAGAGCACAUUGCAAAAACCCCCUCCAUCUCUUACUCAUUUUUACAAUUUUACUUUUUUUUUUUAAUAA
rnacentral:misc_RNA from 1 species